rnacentral:rRNA from 1 species
UGGGGAAUCUUGCACAAUGGGCGAAAGCCUGAUGCAGCGACGCCGCGUGCGGGAUGAAGGCCUUCGGGUUGUAAACCGCUUUCAGCAGGGACGAGGCCGCAAGGUGACGGUACCUGCAGAAGAAGCCCCGGCUACCUACGUGCCAGCAGCCGCGGUAAUACGUAGGGGGCAAGCGUUAUCCGGAUUCAUUGGGCGUAAAGCGCGCGCAGGCGGCUCUUCAAGCGGAACCUCUAACCCCGGGGCUCAACCUCGGGCCGGGUUCCGAACUGGAGGGCUCGAGUGCGGUAGAGGCAGGCGGAAUUCCCGGUGUAGCGGUGGAAUGCGCAGAUAUCGGGAAGAACACCGAUGGCGAAGGCAGCCUGCUGGGCCGGCACUGACGCUGAGGCGCGAAAGCUAGGGGAGCAAACAGG